AUAAAAAGUUUUUGUUUACAAUAGUUAAUAUACUGAUUUCAAUUUUGUUGUGCAUGGUAUUUCAUAAUGUUGUUUUUACUCUAUUCUGCAGUCUCUGUUUGUUCACAAAUAUAGUGGUUCUAUGAUUCUUGAUUCUGCAAUUCCAAUCACUCUGAGUUACCUUAUGUCAACUAUAACUAUGAUCUAUGGCCAACACCUCACAAAAGACCUUCCAGAACCACAAAUUAAUUUGAUUUAUCCAGGAAUUGUGUUGUUCCUAGUUGGUAUCAUUGGCAACUUCUACCAUCAUUUUCUUCUAUCAAAAUUGAGAGGAAAAGGUGAAAAAGAAUACAAGAUUCCUAAAGGUGGCUUAUUUGGGAUUGUGAUAUGUCCUCAUUAUAUGUUUGAGAUAAUUGAUUUUUAUGGGGUAUUUUUCAUUUCCCAAACAUUGUAUUCAUUGAUUUUUGCUAUAGGCACCACUUUCUACUUGUUAGGUAGGAGUCAUGCAACUAGGAAUUGGUAUCUUUCUAAGUUUGAAGAUUUCCCAAAAAAUGUUAAGGCUGUUAUCCCAUUUGUGUUUUAAAUUGUUGUAACAUUAAUCCCUAAUGUGGACGGGGCAUUUGGUUGUGACAUUUAUAAAAUGUUGUAUUGUUGUGCAUGUAUGUUGGAAUACAUAUGUUGAUUUAAUCACGUGAAACAAGAAAAUUGUUGUUUGACGUUAAAAUUGUUUCAUAUAUUAUAUUCUUAUCCAUCAAUUUGAUCCAUCGGUUAUUGAUUUAGAUAUCAAAUUGAUGUAUCUGUUAGAUAAUAAAGUUUUGGGCUUAAGUUGGCGGGUCCUUAUAUUAACAAGUUAGAGUUCAUUAAGUGUUAUUAUAUAUUCUCUCAUAACCUUUUUAAUGUUAAGCCAUUGAUAUUUUAUGAAACCCUAGCCGUUAUUGUUGUUCCUAUUUUAUGAACUAACCUUUUUUAACAUGGUAUCAAGAGCAUCGUUUGAUCCGCCGUGAAUUAUUACUCGCUUCCGCUUUUGUGUUCCCAAAAAUUUGGGAAUUUUGUGUGAUUGAUUUGGUUUAAUUUAUAGUGUUGGUCUUUUGGGAUUUUCAUUGGUCAGGUUUGGAAGUGUCUUUGUGGCUUCAGUGUUUUGUGUGUCCUAAGUAGAAAUCACAGCUUCGGUAUUGUUCAAGUUUUGUGUUUUGUGCUUUGUGGCUAUUGUGUAUUUUGUGGUUAUUGAUCAAGUUUCGGUAUUUGUUUAUGUAUCGCUUUUGUUACAUGAAAGAUUAGUUCUCUUUGUUUAUUUUUUUGCUUUGAUGGGUUAUAAUCUAUGCAACCGGCAGCUGGGUUUUUGCUUAUAUUUUGUGUUGCUAUAUGUUGGCACGUGACAACUACCGAAGGAUUGACUUCCUGUGGUACCUUUGGGGAAGGGUUUUUUAUAAUAUGAUUGAGGUUGGAGAUUCUUUUUGUUUGAGUUUUAUAUUCAUGUCAGUCUUGUUUUUUAUUUAUUUAUUUGAGUCUAGUCCUCUGUUUGUGGGUUUGUUUGAUCUUUUAGUUUUCGUGUGUCUCUCUGUGUUUGUAUUUGGUUAAUUGGUUGUUCGUUUAUGUUUGUCUCUGGUUGCUUUGGGUCAGCUUGUCUUGGUUCGUUUGGUUUUGUUCGUUUUGGUUCUUCAAGUUGUCUUUAUAUAAUUUUGUUUAGUUUGUCUCAGUUUGAUUUGGUUUCGUUUGGUUCAAUUUGUUUGUUUGUUUGGUGGGUCAAGUGCUCGCAAUUUGCUUGUUUGGUGAGUCGAAUUCUCACACUUUGUUGUUUGCUGAGCGUAUGCUCACAAUUUGGUGUCUUCUCCCCUUUUGGUUCUUCAAUUUGGUUGUGUGGUGAGUAAAAUUCUCACAUUUCAUUGUUCCGGUGAGUCGAGUGCUCACAGUUUGGUUUCUUCUCCCCCUUCUGAUUCUUCAAUUUGGUUGUUUGGUGAGUCUAGUUCUUACAUUUGAAUCGACUGUCAACACAGAGAAAUUCAAGAACGAAAAGCCCUUGCAACAAAAGCAGCAGCUUUACCGAUCCUUUUGAGUCCAAACCAAGCAAGAAAUAUCAUCAUUAAAACCAAUCCGAAUCUUUGAAACUGGACAUUGAAUCUUCCCACCAACACGGGUGCAGAUCCAUCAGUCCACCACUCACCGUGACGAACCUCGACAACAGUAAGUCUCAAUAGCCGCAUGAAUUAAUGAUAAGUCAAUAAUUAGUUGGUUUUAAGUGUUUAUUUUACUAAGAUUUUAUGUGUUUUAAAUUACUUUCUAGAACUUUAGUACUUCAAUUUGUUUGUUAUUUAAUUUAAGGAACAAAUAUGGUGACAGAUUGAGUGUUUGAGCAAAAGAUAGGGUUUUGGAGCAUGGUUAAGGAAAGGAAGGAUCUAGAGCAUGAUUCGGGGUUGAUUGAGGCCAAAAAUAUGAAGAUCCUAUGCAAAAAUAUCAGGCGCAGCCAUGCCUGACAAAGACCAGGUCGUGCGCCCCUGUUCAAACAUGCCUUUCAAGACCAAGGAGCUUGACAUGGUCCGUGCCAAGUUGAGCACGACCGUGCCAAGUUCCAAGCUGCUAUGUUUUGUAAUUUUCAGACCUAAAAGCCCAUGGGUUGCUUGCUAUGUAAUAAUGUUUAUGCCUUUUCUUAGGUCUUAAGUUAGCUUUUAGGCUAUAAAUAGAGCAGCCACCAGACCUUUAUGAUUCAUCUUUUGUUCUUGGGAAUUCUCUAUGAUAAUUAUUUCCAUUGAAUCAAAGUUCUGAUUUUCUUGUUUUUAUUUUCUUUGUCUUUAAAAUUAUGCACUUUUGUUUUCAACAAUUUACUUUCAUGUUCUUCUCCUUCUCUUUAAUCUUUAUGUCUACGAUGAACAUUAGUGAGUAGACUUCUUUAUCUUGGGAUUGUUGGAUGAGUCUAAUGACCUAAUCCUAUUCAAACCAAGCCUAGAACCCUAAUUUUAUGUAAAUAUAUUUUUCUAAUCUAAUCUCACCGUUCUUAAUUCUUAUUUCAAAUAUUAACCGAAGUAUCGAAAGAAGAAGGUUACCAUUGGACAUGUGAGAUUAGACAAGGUUCACGAAACAUUAGAAUACUCUAGUAAACUUUGAGACCUUAAAGUUUCGCUCGGCUUUCAAUAACAAUCAACCAUGAGAAUAGGCGUGGUUGUUAUUGAAACACACUCGUUGAUUUCGAGAGAAACCUUGAUAGGCUUUAGAGAAACCGCUCUUUAGAAAUAGAUUUAACGUAAGAUUUAGGUAUUAAGUUUGGAUUGUGAAAGAUUUCUCAUUAUGGCGAACCAAUAAUCCUGAUGCACUUUUUAUCAUUAAUUUACAUCAAUCAAAAAUCAAACCUUUUAAACCUUUAAACUUUCAGUUAAUCAUGGUUAAAAAGAGAAUCAAAAUUACAACAACUCUAUGUUGGAACGAUACUUUUUUAUUACUCCGGUAAAACCAUGCACUUACGGAUUUUACACAUCAAUUAACCAUCCAGAAUAAAGGCCAUGCUUUUUUGAGCUAACAGUCCAAAAUGAAUAUUUGUCCAAGACAUCGAAGCAUUAAUUAUAGAACCGAACCAAACCAACAUAACACCGGAUCAAAACGAAUCAUGAGCAACCAUCGACUAUCUAUCACAUCCCCUUCUCAAAACCAACCCCGACACGAACCACAAGGGAAAGUGUGUAAAAAGCCACAAGCAAUUUAAACAGCUAGAGACGAGAUUGAAUAAUCACACCAAUCAUUUUCCAAUAAAUACCAAGAACGGUGUAUGAACUUGACCGCCAACACGGAUACAGAUCCAUCCACUCACAACUCAUCAUUUCGACCACAACAAGUCUCAAAGCAGCCAUUUCUGGCCUUACAAUCUGAGGCCAAAGAAGAACAUCUGAAUUUGUUUGCAGAACCAACAACCAUUCAUCAUAGAAAGAAACGUCGACAAUCAAUGACGAAUCGGAAGCGAGAUCUCGUAGCUCCAAAGGAAUCUCAACAAAUCAAACCCAGGUAAGAAAAAAGGGUUUGGACUGGAAGGAGAGGGUUACAGGAGAGGAGAGUUUAGAGAGAGGUCAAAGCCUUUUAAAAAUAACUUCAGCACAACAACCUUUAAACUACAAUUUGCAUAUUCAAAUUAGAUAAGUUUUUAUGUCUAUAUUUGACUAUCUUUAGCAUGUAUUUUACAUAAACUAAUAUGAUAGAAUAUUUCCAGUUUGAAAAUUCGUUUUAAUUAUUUAACUAUAGAUUAGAAAUUGUGUUUGUUUACAAUUUUAAAAACUUAAUUGGUGACUUACUACAAAAGUACAAUGGUUUGAUCUUUAGAUGGGAUAGUUUGAAAUGUUUGUGCGGUUGUUCUAACCUCGAUGUGAAAGGUUCCCCAAGCUCCCCUAUGACCUAACAAAUAGAACCCUUGUGCUGAAGCAAUAACACAUUUUUAUCCUAAUCAACAUUCUCUCUAACCCUUAAUUUGGAAGUACCUAACAAUUUGAUUGAUUAAAUUUGUCUGUGUGGACUAAGUAGAGGUGUUGUUUUUGAGCAAUACUUCUGAUCUCUCACAUUGUGAGUUCGAAUUUUAAGGUUAAUAAAUGAAUCCUUAAAGUGUUUUAAUUUGUGAUUAAUAAUUUAAUCAAGAUCCGUUCAUCGGGAAAAACCCAACACUCUCUCCAGAGUUUUGUCGAUUCAUGUUAUCCCCAGUGAUUUGUGAUUAUUAUUUUUAUUUUUGUAUAGUUUGUUCCUAUGUUGAAAUAACAAAGAAGGGGUGACUAUUUUCCAAUGAACGGCGCCAUUGAUCUAACAUGAUAAGAAGAACAGUGGAAGGGGGUGUACCUGUAGACACUGCAACACUUAUGUUAAUGUUUUGAGCAAGAAAAAAGGGUGACAAGUAAAAUAAAUCAUACCUUUAGAGAUUACUUAAAGUACCCUAAUAUAGAAAGGGGAGGUACAAGUGUUGUUGUUAAUGUCGGAAGAUAGUUGUUCAGUAGUUACGGUUGUGUGAACAAUAACUGUCAAACAUUACUAUUUGGCAGUUAUGUGGACCGUCAUGAUCCUGUGUUUGGAUCAACGUCUAAUAUUUCUACAAAUGCCGCCCCUUAUAGGGAAGGGGUGUGAAGCAAGUAAUUAUCCCAAUGCUGAAUUGGGCUUGUUUGUUAUUGGAUUGGACUUAAAUGGGCUUACUCAUUUGGGCAAUCCAGAAUAAAAAUCUAACUUAACCCUAACUAAUCAUCUAGUAAUCUCUGUAUAAAUAUAUGAUUUUACUUUGGUGGAGAAUACAAGAAAUGGUCGGCUGCGCUUCGCCGAAGCUUGAUUUCUCUCUUUCGAUCUGGCUCACUGAAACCUCACUACCUUGUGUUCGCAAAGAAUAAUAAAGGUAGUCUUCCACUCACUCUCUAUCAUUCAUUGAUGAAUAUAAUUUGUUCGCAUAUAUGAAUUGAUUUUAAUGAUUAUGGAGUGGGAUACAAAUCUGAAAUCAUUGAUAUUCUUUCUUAUCAGUUGCAUCUAUUUUUUAUAUAAUUUUCAAUUUUUAAUCUUAUCUUGUUUUGUCUUCACCAGAUCCACGAACAUGGCAACAAAACUUAAUUCAAAGAUUAUCAUUUUAUAUCUCAUCAAAUGGUUAUCAUCAAGAUUUUAUAUAUUUCGAAGCAUUGUUAUGGGUUACCCUAUUGUUUGCUUUGGUAAUGUCCAAGAUAAAGCUCAUUCGAGUGUGAUUUCUUUGAUUAAAUCUGGCAUAAAGAAGACAAAACUUUGUCUUUUGAAAAAGGUAUACCUAGUAUUCAUUAUAUCUUUUUUGCUAUAAAUAAGUUCUUUUUGUUUUUUGGAUUGAUAUCAAAAUAAAUAUUAUUUAUUUUAACUUAAUAUUUUAUUUACUCUCAAAUGAGUAUCAUAAGAAAUAAAUAUAUAUUUUUUAAAGUACUAAUUAUAAUUUGAGUUAAUGUUGAUUUUGAUGUUUUCUCGCAUGUAUAAAAUUAACCUUUGUUAUGAAUUUUGAACUGAUCCAUUAUGAAAUUUAACACGACCUCUAAAAAAAAAUCGAGAUUUGUGCAUAAAUGAAAACAUUAUUGAGUAUCUACUUUUGAAAUCAGUAGAAGUGUCUCCCUUUUAUCAAAGAUCAAAUAAAUAUAAAAGAAAACAAGAUCGAGUAUCUACUUUUGAAAUCAUUAUACCUAGAUUGGUGUACCCAAAUGAACUAAACAACAAUCACCAAAAGUGUCUCGCUGUUUUAAAUCUAAAUCAUUUUUUUUCAAUCGUUGUACUAAUUUUGCAUGCUCAUAAAUUCAAUUCUUCCAUAGCUAAAUAAAAAAUUGAUAAUAUUUUUAACAACAGGGAAUUUUAGGGCAGUUACUUUGUUGGUGAAGGAGGAUUUGGCAAGGUUUAUAAGGGUUACAUCAAGAAAAUAAUCAGGUUGUUGCAAUAAAGCAACUGGACCCUAAUGGACUUCAAGGAACCAGAGAAUUUGUUGUUGAAGUGUUAACACUUGAUUUGACAGAACACCCAAAUCUUGUCAAGUUAUUAGGAUUUUGUGCUGAGGGAGAGCAGAGACUUUUGGUUUAUGAGUACAUGCCGUUGGGAUCUUUGCAGAAUCAUUUGCAUGAUCUUUCUCCCGGGAAAAACCACUAGAUUGGAAUACGAGAAUGAGAAUAACUGUUGGUGCAGCUAAAGGUUUGAAUUAUUUGCAUGAUAAAAUGAAACUCCUAUCAUAUAUCGUGACCUCAAAUGCUCCAACAUUUUGUUAGGAGACGAUUAUCAUCCCAAGUUAUCUGAUUUCGGCUUGGCAAAAGUAGGUCCAAUUGGUGAUAAGACUCAUGUGUCAACAAGGGUAAUGGGAACAUAUGGGUAUUGUGCUCUAGAUUAAUUGUAUCAAAAACUUAGAUCAAACUGUUAGAAAAUAUAUUUAAUGAGUACAAUAGGUGCUAAUUUGUCGACAAGAUUUGUGUGUUUGAAAUACUACUCCUUAUUUUAUUAAGGAGAAAACUUAGGUACAAUUCUCUAGAUGUUUUUCGUAUGGUUCUUAACUAAAUUCAUAUCAUUUCCUCAAAUCCAUAAUUUUCUCAAAGUUUGUUAUAUCCAAAAAAUAUGUAUUUUUACUUAAGAACCAUACGAAAAACACUUAAGGAAUUUGUACUUAAGUUUUCACCUUUUAUUAAUGAUUGUUAUGUUAGAGAUUUACUAGAAAUGCCUUCUUUUAGGUAUAUAUCUUUUUGGUGGAGUUUUUGGUAUAGUCCCUCCAUCUUGUAUUUUCCUCUUCUCUUUUAUCAAUAUAAUUUGGGUUGGUUAGCAUCUUAGUUACCACCCUUUUUUUUGCAAAAAAUAAAAUAAAAAUAUUUAAUGAGUAAAUUAUAUUAUAAUUUUUUGGUUCCAAACUAUAUCUAAACCAAAAUAUAUCUCUUUUGUGUAUUUGAUUUAUAAUCUUUUUACUUUAUUGGCUUAAUACAUGCUUUGGUCCCUUAACUUAUUUUCGGAUUUUAUUUUGGUCCCCUAACUAUAAAGUGUCUCAAUUUGGUCUCUUAUGUUUUUUUUGUUACCUCUUUUGGUCGUAUCCGUUACAUUUUAACUAUUUGAUCUAUUUUUCAAAUAGAAACCGUUGGAUCAUAUACUUUUAUUGUAGCAUACGGUGAAUCAUUAACACCUGAUUAUAUUAAAGCCAAACAUAUAUAAAAAAAAUCAUAUUUUUUUAUAAAAUAUGAAGUUUUUUUCAGAAUUUUUAUAAAAUUAUUUUCAAAAUUAAAAAAAAUUUGAAAAGAAUUAUUUUUUUUACGAAAUUUUUAGAAAAGGACAGAUUCUUUUUUCGAAAAAAAAAACGGUUUUUUAAAUCUCACGAUCCAAUAACGGAUUCUAGCUUUUUAAACGAUAUUAUCACAAUCACUCGACAAUAUCAUUCGUGUCCAAAUGAUAUCGUUAUUUCUAAGGGAUUGUUUAAACAUCGAUUUCCCAAACAUUUAAACGAUCACAAAGUCGAUUGGAUAGUUCAAUCGAAGAUUUCCCAACCGAUUAAAUUACCCAAAAGCAUUAAGUCCUAGAUUAAAAGUGAUUAUCAAAUAUUAACAUUCAUGUCUAGAGUGAUAACUUAAGAUAGAUUGUUAUUCUAUUUCUAGAUUCAAAAGUAUGUGUCCAUAUCAUUUUGAAUCUCAAUAAAACAUUAAAUGCAAGAAUAACAACAAUAUUGAAUAAAUAGCUAGAAUCAUAUAUUAAAUGAUCAAAAGAUUACAUAAUGGCUUGUUUGAAUACCUCAAAACUCACAAGGGUAGAUGUAUGUCUAUGAUAGCUUUGCAAAGGAUGAAGAAAAGAGAUGAAGAUUCCAUGCCGACUCAUGAUAUCUCAACAAAUCUUGGGUAGAAUCUACUCCUAACACCUUACUUUGUGUUUUUCUAUAGAAAUGCAUCUUUCUCUAAGAACCCAAAAAAUCUCCAAAAAUGGUGCCGUUCCUCCAAGAAAAACGUGAUCUCCCUUCUCUGUGUCUAUUCUUCCAAUAGUGGCAUCCUCCUAUUUUUUCUUCUCUCGGGUCAACAACAAUGUUGGGUCAAAAGCCCAAUUGUUUCUAACUUCCCCUUAUGUUUUUCACUUCUUUUUCUUUAUUAUUCACACCAGCCAUUUAGCACAUUAAUAUAAGCUCAUCCAAUUUUUUUCUUUUCUCCUAUUACUACUACUACUACUACUACUAAUAAUAAUAAUAAUAAUAAUAAUAAUAAUAAUAAUAAUAAUAAUAAUAAUAAUAAUAAUAAUAAUAAUAGUAAAAUAAACUAAUUGACUCAAUUAAUAAAUAAAACCACAAUUUAUUUAAAAUGACUCUAAAUGAAAUACUAAAAUAAUAAAAUAGACUAAAAAUUUAAUUAAAAAGACUCAAAAAAUGUGAUAUGACGGACUGUCAUCAAAGCAUCCGUUGCAUUCAAAAUCUGCAUUAGACUAUGAUCAAUAAACUACUUAAAAAAGAUUGAAAAAACCAACACAACUCAACUCCUUUCUUAUAUGUUUUUCUCACUUUCACUCAUCAUUCCUAAGAUGUUUGACUCUGAAAAUUCAAUACCUCAUCUUCAUCAUCUCUAAGGUACAUGUUCUCUAACCCUAUACUCUUUACUUACAUCAUCCACUUCACGCACAAAAUUAUUUAACUUUGAUAUUUUGUUUUAUAUUAACACUUCAUAACGUUAUGAAGUCUGUUAUAACACUGUUUUUCCAAGUUUCAACGUGAGAAAUAUUUUUAAAGUGUAGGAUUAAAUUUAAAAAUAGUCACAAUUCAAACCCCCUUUUCAUGUGACUAUUAUAUUUACUUCAUUAAGCUUUUUGCAUAUAAAAAUUAAAUAGAUCUCAAAACAUAAUUGAAUAAAAUAUUUAAUAUCACAUAUAGAUUUAGUCAUAUCACAUGACAUUCAUGUCUCUUGGGUAGCACUGAUGUAUUGUUAUAUUCUUCUUUGUUUAUAAUAUUAAAUAUAAUAUUUCAUAUUAUUUCCAACACGACAAGAACCUAUAGGGUCACACACAAAAAAGAAAAGUUAAGUAAGAGAUAUAGGUGAGGUGCAAUUACUAUAUGGCAAAGCUAGAAAAUUGGUUAUUAGGCUUACAUAAGCCUAAUAAUGAUUGCUUGACUUGCAAAGAACACAAGUUGUUCUAUAAAUAGAACCUUUGUUCUAUAAGCUAGAAAACGGUUUUUAAAAUUUUUUCCUACAAAAAUAUAUAAAAAUUCAGAUUUUAAAAUUAGAAAAAAAAAAUUUAUUCAAGAAUUUUUAUAAAAUCUUUUCCAAAAUUUGAAAAAAAAUUAUUUUUUUACGAAAUUUCAAAAAAAGGUCAGUUUUUUUCCGAAAAAAAAUGUUUUUUUAAUUGUUUUCUACAAAAUUCUGGAAAAUAUUUUAAUUUUUAAAAAUCUGGAUACAAAUUUUUCUACAAAAUUCUGAAAAAUAUUUUAAUUUAAAAAAUCCAGAAUUCAUCAAUAAAAAAAUUUCAUAUUUUUUUUUAUUUUUCUACAAAAUUCUGGAAAAUAUAUAAAAAAAUUCAGAUUUUUAUAAAAUAUGAAAAAAAAUAUUCCUGACGUUUAUUAAAUUUCGUAAUUUUUUUUUUCAAAUUUUGAAAAAUAUAUAAAAAAAUUCAGGUUUCUAUAAAAUAUGAAAAAAAAAAUAUUCCUGACUUUUGUAGAAAAAAUUAAAUUUUUUCCAAAUUUUUAAAUCUUGGAAAAGAUUUUAUAAAAAUUCUGGAAUAUAUUUUUUUUUACUAAUUUUAAAAUCUGAAUUUUUUAUAUAUUUUUCAAGAUUUUUAAAAAUAUAAAUAUUUUCCAUCUUUUUGUAGGAAAAAAAUUUAAAAAACCUUUUUUCUCAGAAAAAAAAUAUCUGACCUUUUUAAAAAAUUUCGUAAAAAAAUAAAUUUUUUAAUUUUGAAAAUGAUUUUAUAAAAAUUCUGAAAAUUAAAGAAACAUUUUUUUACGGAAAACAACUGACCUUUUUUUGGAAAAGAUUUUAUUAAAAUUCUGGAAUAUAUUUUUUUUUCUAAUUUUAAAAUCAGAAUUUUUUAUAUAUUUUUCAGAUUUUUAAAAAUUUCGUAAUUUUUUUUUUCAAUUUUGAAAAUGAUUUUAUAAAAAUUCUGAAAACAAAACUUCAAAUUUUAUAAAAAAUAUGAAUUUUUUUAUAUAUUUUUGGCUUCAAAAAAAUCAGGUGAGUUAAUCAUUCAUCGUAAGCUGCAAUAAACCUGCAUGAUCCAAGGGUUGCUAUUUGAAAAAUAGAUCAAACAGUUAAAAUGUAAGGGAUAUGACCAAAAGAGGUAACGACAAAAGACAUAAAAGACCAAAUUGAGACAUUUUAUAGUUAGGGGACUAAAAUAAAAUCCGAAAAUGAAUUAAGGGACCAAAUCAUGUAUUAAACAUACUUUAUUUUGUGACAGUUCAAUCCAAAAUAAUAAUGUAUGGUGUUCCUAUCCAAUCCAUUUCUGCCACCAGUAUCCAAAAUAAGGGGUUCUAUGGCGAAUCUUGUCAUGAGGUAAAUUUGUAAACUAGUAUGCGUGUUUGUUAUUUUUUUUCUUUUCAUUUUUGGCAUAAUUGCCCUUUUUUCCCUAUAGUUUGCCAAUUGUACGAUUUUGUAUCCCAUGAUUUUAAAUGAGCGAUUUUGCCCCCUAUAGUUUUCCCACUUUCUGAUUUUAUGGUCCCCGUGACAUUUAGUGCUGAUAUGUCUGUUUUUUAUCAAUUAAUGUGUGUCACGUGUGUAAUUCCAUUUUUUUUUUUUAAAAUUAAAAAAUUAUUUUCAGAUUUUGAGAGAAGGAGGCACGCGAUAUUUCUUCUUCAAAUCUGAAAAAUCACAUGCCCCCUUCUCUCAAAAUCUGAAAAAUACCAUUUUUUUUUAUUUUUUAAAAAUGGAAUCGCACACGUGGCACACAUUAAUUGAUAAAAAAUCAGUAGUAAAUGUCAUGGGGACCAUAAAAUCAGAAAGGGGGACAACUAUAAGGGGCAAAAUCGCUCGUUUAAAACUAUGAGGUGUAAAAUCUCACAAUUGACAUACUAUAGGGGGAAAAGUGCAACUAAGCCUUAUUUUUUUAUUGAUUUGAUUGAGCUCAUUGUAUUGUUGGUAAAUACCACUAAAUGAUAGAAUAUUAAUGUUUAUCAAUUAUAUUUGUUAGUUCAUCUAUUUAUUGAUUUAUUUACCUAAAAUAUUAUAUAAUAUUUAAUAAUUCAUAUUCUUUCGGUUCAAAUCUAUGUAGAACUUAUACUUUAAUUUGUUACAGUCAAUUAGUUCAAUUUCUUGAAUUAUAAUUGGUAUCGACAUGUUAGUGUCCUGUUUGGUAUUUGUGUUGGUGCUUGAUAGGUUUUUAUUGUGAAGUAUUUUCUAAUAAGUUGGCCUUAGCAUAAUAAAUUAUAGUAGCUUGUGACUACCGAAGGAAACAAAAAUUGUCAAAACAGUUUGUACAUGAUGUUGUUGAAACAUAAAUUGUCCAAAAUUCAACUAAUUUUUGUAAAAAUGAGUAUAGAGUUUAUAUAAUGAGAUGAGAUAGGUGUUUGAAGUAUUGCGCGGUCAGCAUAUAUGACUGUUGUAAUUAUUUUGCAUUGAGUAUAUUCAUAGCGCAAAAUGAACAUGCAUUUACAACAACAGAUGUUGCAUGUAAGUUAUAGUUAUAAAGAAAUUUGAGUUUGUGUUGUUUUAAUUUUGUAUCAUUUUGUGUGUUAGUUUUGAAACAAGAGUGAAUUUAUAGAUACAAGAAGGUGAACAACCUACUAGUCAUAGUUUUAAAAACUGAACCGGUCAUCGAUUCGGUAAAGGUAGUGGGUCACUGGGUCAUUGGUCGAAUCACUGUGUCACUGGUCGAACCGCAUGAAAGAAUCAGAUGAAUCGGUCGUACCACCCGGUCUCCAUAUAGUUAUUAUCUUUGUAUUAAAUAAGAUGACUCGGUCUAUGGUAAAACAUAACACAAAUAAAUGUUAAAAAAAUAGAUAAAUUAAGACAAUUUCUGAUAUUUGUUCUUUAAAUUUAAGUUCAUCUACUAUGACAUAAUUAUUUGAUAAAAACACACACGGCGCGCGCAUAUAUAUAUAUAUAUAUAUAUAUAUAUAUAUAUAUAUAUAUAUAUAUAUAUACACACUAUGAGUAUAGUAAAUUAGAAACACUCUCAUAAAAAAAUAAUAAAAACACUUACUUUUAGAAUAUAGGCAAAAUUACACUUUUAGUCUUUUAACUUAAUUUCAAUAACAAUUUGGUCUUUUAUCUUUUUUCAUUUCAAUUUGGUCUUUUUUGUCCAUUUUCAUAUACAUUUUCAAGCUUCAAAUCUAAUAUUCUUAUGCAAACAUAGACGAUGAUCAUAGAUUUGAAGACUAAAAGAUCAUAAGAAAAUAAAAUCAUGAAUUUUAAGCUUAAAAAUGUAUAUGAAAAUGGACAAAAAGAACCAAAUUGAAAUGAAAAAAAGAUAAAGGACCAAAAUGUUACCUAAAAUUAAGUUAAGGGACUAAAACUGUAAUUUUGCCUAUAUUCUAAAUGAUAGCAUGACCGAUCCAAACUGUCAACCGAACCGGCCACCCCACCGGUUCACGGUCCAACCGGCCAGUCCAGUCUGGUUUUCAAAACUAUGCUACUAGUGCUCUAGUAUUUACUUGGAAGACAUCUGCUUUUAAGUGUGUGUCUGAAAUGCUUAUUAAUAAUGUUUUGAAAGAUUGACGAUUGAACAAGGUUAAUCAUAUUGCUAUUGUGUCUCCAAAGGAAUCUACUUUGAAAAAAGGUGGGUUACCUUUCACACAUUUUAUGUAUUUAACAUAAGAAGUUCAAAUUGUUUCGUGAUUAUUAAGGCUUGUCCUCAUGUAUGCAAUUCAAACUAAUGAUGAUAGGAGCAAAAAAGUUUUAUAUUUAAUAUUUUGAAUAUACUAUAGGAGUUUGUUGUAGAUUGAAUUAGGGGAACAUGUGAAAGAAAAAUCCCUUAGUGGAAAUCAAGGUUUAAAGGUUAAAAACGACAAAAAUCGAGAUAAUGAAGCAAACACAAAUAAAGGAAAUAUCAAAUCGCAAAAACAUUGAUGAUUCUUGCUAGAACAAUAGAUUCCGUGAUUCCAGAAUCACUUAUAAAUUUCAUAUUCUAGAUGGUUGGCUUGGCUUAUAUGUAUGUACUGGUUAUCCUCAAAACUCAUCACCUUUUUCUUACAUGAAUAUGUGCAUUAUAUAAAUUGCUACAUUGAAAUUCUAAGAGACACUAUUUGAUUAUUAGACAACCAAAAUGCAAGGAGGAUUACGAUCAUUUUUGUCAAACGAGAAGGUCAUUCAAAAUGUUUUUUUGCAACGAGUCCGCACGGUGAAUCCUCUGUUGCAGCCAGUUUCCUUUUCACAGUUUGAGUAUGCUACACCUGCUUGUAUUGAGGAGCAUGGUUUUGAGAGCACCACAAUUUCAGACAUCUUGCAAGGAAAAGGUAAAGGUGCUAAUGGUUCCUUGCUUUGGUGCACCACAGAUGACACUGUUUAUGUUGCUGUCAAAUCGGUAAUGCAUUUUGUUGGAACUGUUUUUGCAAUUAAUUAUAAGUGUUCACGUGAAAUUGAUGUAGCUCACUAAAAAUGACAUUGUUGCAGAUGACACAAAACAAUGUUGGAACUUGUGAGUUGGUUGUUACAAUAGUUUAUUGAAGUGUUAUUCUUUUUUUUUUCUUUUGAAUUAAUAUUUCCGUUGAUAUAUGUUUGCAUUUAGAGGACAAAAAGAUAUCUAACUGCAAUUGAGGAAUUAUUAUAUUGACUUUAGUUCUUCUAGUUGAGUCACAUUAAAUCUUGAAGUUGAUUAGAUAUAUUGAUGCUAUGGACAAUUUAGACAUCACAAACAAUUUUAUUAUGUCCAAGUCUGUUAUAAUUUGUGACUUUUGAUACUUGCUAGGAACCUCAAUCACGUAGAAAACCAAUGACUCUUUCAAUGGUGAAACUUUUGUAUCUUUGGAGUCUACAAGUGAGGGAAAGGGAGAAGAGGAAAGAAAUAUGAAAGGUAAAUGCUAGUUUCUACUUUUGUAACUUGUUUUUGCUUUGGGUUUUGGAUCUUAUAGAUGUUGAAGGUCUUGGAAUGUAUGCCUAUUAUGAGGUGUUCUAUUUCGUUUGAAGUUUUUUUAUUCACUUGGAUUAUGAUCAUCUUAUUUAUAUUAUGACAUUUGAAGAUAGUACACUUUUGAAAAAUGUUAGGUAUUUGAUUGGUUAGUGUUUCUAGUACUAAAUUGAUUUGUGGUUACUGAUUUUUGCUUAGAUAUAUCAAUGUUUUUGGAAUUGGUUUAGAUUGAAUUUAUUUUAUGAAUUGUUUGUAGGUGAAUUGGGGAUCAUAAAUCUGGUUGUGAUAAAUCAUCUUUUUCAUCUACUGUUUUCAUUUGAUUUACAAUUUCACCAUUAUUUCAUCAUGUUCUGCAUUGUUCAAAAUUUGUAAGUUCUUCAUCCUUUCUUAUUUGAAAUUUUUUCAAGGUUUAGUGGAAAAGAUGAAGCUACCGCUUGUUAAAUUGUUUUAGAACACUGUUUUUGCCUUUAGUUUUUUAAAGUAAUAUUUUUACUUGUGAUUUAUAGUAACUGAUCAUCACUUCUUUGAAAGAGAAACAAUUUAAUUCUUGGAUUUAUGAAGAAGUUGUGCCAAAAUUAUGUAAUAGGAUUAAUUCUUGGGUUUAUUAUUUGAAGUAACUGGACUUGGUGUAAAGCAAUUGUUGUACUAGGGGUUGAAACGAUGUCAAUGUUUAAAUUUUGUGAAUGUUUUUGUAUCAAUAGAUGAUUUUGUUUUAGUGAAUUAUUUUAAAGCAAUGAUAUUUCUCUUGGUUACUUGCAUGUUUCUGUUGAAAGUGACUUUACUAAUUUAACGCUUUUGUUGAUGUAGAGUGUUUGAUAUAGUCCUCUUGGUUGUACUUUUUCUAGGGGCAAAGGAGUUAUGGAAAAUUUGCUGGUAGUUAAUCUUGGUAUAUCAUUGUAGAAUUUCUUUUAAAUUAUUAAGUUGUGCCAAAAUUAUGUAAUAGCAUCGAUGGAUUCAUUUGAAGUUCUUGGACUAGGUUUAAAUCAAUUGUUGAAAGUUGCUAUGAAAUUGAAGUUCUAUGAUAAUAUUUUAUAUUAAACGAUCGUGUAUAAGGUUCUGUUUCAUCACAAUAAUGUUCAGUAUGGGAGAAAGAAAAAAAAAAUUAGAUUUUAAAUUGGGUGACCAGAUAUAAAAUGGAAGAUUUUAAAUCGGGUAUAUUCGAACUAAAAAACACAUGAACUUUUUAAAUGUGGUAACCGAUUUAAUUUAUACAUUUUAAAUCGGGUUACCCGAUGUAUAAAAAGAAUUUAAAUCGGGUCAAAGGAAAGACUUAAAAAUGAAACACUUAUUAAAUCGGCCACCUAUAAAUCGGAUACAGAACCGAUUUAAAAAGUCUUUUUCACCUAAUUUAAAAAGUUUUUUCUACAAUAGUGAAUGGCCUUAACUUUGUAAUGGAGUUUGGAUGGUCAGAUAGAGUCCAAAGGCUUGGUCAAGAAUUGGCUUUAACUUGGAUGGUCAUAUAGUAUAUUAUUAAACAAUUUUUAUUUGAUUAAGUUACAUUAUGAGAAGUCUCUUUCAGUUAUGAUUGAGCAUUAGAAGUCUCUUGCUUGAGUAUUUGUAAUCUUUGAUAUUAUAGUGAAAAUCUCUCUCUCUCUCUCUCUCUCUCUCUCUCUCUAUGAGAUUAUAGGGGAAAUCUCUGCACGCAAGCAUGAUGUAGUAUUUUUCUAUCAAUCAAAAGUAAGUAUUUUUGUGUAUAUUGUCUCCACAGGGACUAGCGCGAUAUUUAAGUCAUUCAACAAUCAAUAAUGUUCUAAGUGUAUGGAUUUAAAAUGUGUGUUUGUGUAAACUAUAUUAACUAUUUGACAGAAAAUUAAUAGAGAAGAGAUAAGGUCAUUUCGCUUGGGAUCAGAGACACUCAACCAAGCGUAACAACUGCAAUCUCACGAUCAAAUAACGGAUUCUAGCUUUUUAAACAAUAUUAUCACAAUCACUCGACAAUAUCAUUCGUGUCCAAAUGAUAUCGUUAUUUCUAAAGGAUCGUUUAAACAUCGAUUUCCCAAACAUUUAAACGAUCACAAAGUCGAUUGGAUAGUUCAAUCGACGAUUUUCCAACCGAUUAAAUUACCCAAAAGCAUUAAGUACUAGAUUAAAAGUGAUUAUCAAAUAUUAACAUUCAUGUCUAGAGUGAUAACUUAAGAUAGAUUGUUAUUCUAUUUCUAGAUUCAAAAGUAUGUGUCCAUAUCAUUUUGAAUCUCAAUAAAACAUUAAAAACAAGAAUAACAACAAUAUUGAAUAAAUAGCUAGAAUCAUAUAUUAAAUGAUCAAAAGAUUACAUAAUGGCUUGUUUGAAUACCUCAAAACUCACAAGGGUAGAUGUAUGUCUAUGAUAGCUUUGCAAAGGAUGAAGAAAAGAGAUGAAGAUUCCAUGCCGACUCAUGAUAUCUCAACAAAUCUUGGGUAGAAUCUACUCCUAACACCUUACUUUGUGUUUUUCUAUAGAAAUGCAUCUUUCUCUAAGAACCCAAAAAAUCUCCAAAAAUGGUGCCGUUCCUCCAAGAAAAACGUGAUCUCCCUUCUCUGUGUCUAUUCUUCCAAUAGUGGCAUCCUCCUAUUUUUUCUUCUCUCGGGUCAACAACAAUGAUGGGUCAAAAGCCCAAUUGUUUCUAACUUCCCCUUAUGUUUUUCACUUCUUUUUCUUUAUUAUUCACACCAGCCAUUUAGCACAUUAAUAUAAGCUCAUCCAAUUUUUUUCUUUUCUCCUAUUACUACUACUACUACUACUACUAAUAAUAAUAAUAAUAAUAAUAAUAAUAAUAAUAAUAAUAAUAAUAAUAAUAAUAAUAAUAAUAAUAAUAGUAAAAUAAACUAAUUGACUCAAUUAAUAAAUAAAACCACAAUUUAUUUAAAAUGACUCUAAAUGAAAUACUAAAAUAAUAAAAUAGACUAAAAAAUUAAUUAAAAAGACUCAAAAAAUGUGAUAUGACGGACUGUCAUCAAAGCAUCCGUUGCAUUCAAAAUCUGCAUUAGACUAUGAUCAAUAAACUACUUUAAAAGGAUUGAAAAAACCAACACAACUCAACUCCUUUCUUAUAUGUUUUUCUCACUUGCACUCAUCAUUCCUAAGAUGUUUGACUCUGAAAAUUCAAUACCUUAUCUUCAUCAUCUCUAAGGUACAUGUUCGCUAACCCUAUACUCUUUACUUAGAUCAUCCACUUCACGCACAAAAUUAUUUAACUUUGAUAUUCUGUUUUAUAUUAACACUUCAUAACAUUCUGAAGUCUGUUAUAACAUUGUUUUUCCAAGUUUCAAUGUGAGAAAUAUUUUUAACGUGUAGGAUUAAAUUUCAAAAUAGUCACAAUUCAAGCCCCCUUUUCAUAUGACUAUUAUAUCUACAAUUCAUUAAGCCUUUUGCAUAUAAAAAUUAAAUAGAUCACAAAACAUAAUUGAAUAAAAGAUUUGAAUAAAUUUGAUCCAACAAUAAAAUAGAUUUUUAUCUUCAAACUUUAAUCAAUAGGUGUUUGGUUAUUUAUGGUAACUAAAGAGAAAUUACAAAUGAAUUAAAACAUACUCUAAAAACAAAGGUUGAAGAGAGACUCCUCCGUUGAUGCUCUUAGCACUUACAUUCCUCUUGAACCGUCAAGUUCUAAAUGAAUAAUUGUGAAUGAUAACCCUUGUACUUGUAGGCAAGUUUAUAACUGAGUUUGGCUUGAAAAACUCGACUUUUUCCUCGAACCCGCGUAGAAAAAACUGCAGAACACUAUUUUUUUUAUCGGCCUCACGGCUGGGGCUACGCGUGCAGUGCGUGCUAAAAAGAAUGUUUUUCAACACUGUUUCACGCACCAGGGACACAUGGCAGCACUCACAAGGCUUAUGUCUUCAUCUUUUAAUGUGUUUUUUUUCUUCUUUUUUCUUCAUCUUUCGGAAUGUUUUCUUCCCAACUUAAAAAAUAUCAACCGUAUAAAUAAUAUACCAUAAAAAGUAGUGGGGGCAGUUGUCCCCAAUCUACACUAAGUAACUCCGUCCCCGCACAUUUCAAUAUCUCAACCUAUCCAAUGUGGAUUAUUCCAUGAAAAAAUCAAUAUUGCUGAUCCGAUUGACAUGUGUCAAAGUUUUUCAAGAGCCAUUAAAAUUCAUUAUUGGUUGAUUAGUUUCCUGGAUCUGUUGCCCAUACUUACUUGUUUUGCAUCUCUAAAAUGGUUGAAUAAAUCACAACAUUUUUAUUCAGAUUUUGGUGGAAGUUUGUUUUAGCUAUUUUAAACCAUUUUUUGUAAAAAAAAAAAAAAAAAACAUUUUUAUAAUAUUUCAUAGAAAACUGUAAACCAUUAAAUUCUUUAAUUCUCAUGAAAAUUUUAAUUUCAAUUUCUACACAACAAAUCCAAUUAUUUGUUUUCAAUUAUAAAAAUCAAAUUUUAAAGUGGAUAUUCUCAUGAAAAUGUUCAAAGCAUAUCUUAACAAAAUGUUAUCAGCAUAUGUGUCGCUCUCUUGGCUAAAACGUGGUCCAGAAUCAUUACCCAAAAGAGAACGUUGAGAUUGUAUGAUUAUUAUCAUUUCAAGAGAAUUAUCCUGAAAAAUGAUGAACACCACGUUUCUAUUAUUAUAUUACUAUUCCAUUAUGGCUAGUCAUUUAUCAAUUGCUACCAAAUAGGGAAAGUAGCUAAGAAAAUAGCAAAAGAAAGAAAGCAUGGUCAUGUCUAUGUUUUAUAAUUUCAUGUUCCCACAACCACCAUCUAUAUUUAUCACAGCCAUGUCAAUUAUAAGUUUUGUUGCAUCUUCAAGUUAUGGUAUUUCUGAAAUUAGAGGAAAGCAUUUGAAUUAUUCCAAAUUUUGGAAUGCAAAUAAUAACAAAACCAAUAGUGGAAAGCAAAUUAAGUUGUCAAGUAAGGUUGGUAUGUUGUUGCUCUAUACUCCUGCUUUUCUAGCUGGUGCAGUGUCCUUUUGGAUCUUUCCUAAUGAAGGUUUAAGAUCUACAAUCCUUCAAGGUGCUUUGACCCUUCACUACUUCAAGAGAGUCUUUGAGGUAAUACUUGAUAUACUUUAUGGUCUCACACCACCAUCAAGAUUUUUCUUUUCUAUAGAUAUUCUAAUGAUUUCUUUCAACUUAAGACCUACAUAUAGUUUUUGUUAUCAAUUUUGAUCUUUAUAUUUGAUAAUAUUUGACACUUAUUUAAUGGAAAUCCAAGUGUUUAGUCUAAGCGAGUUUUGUUUUAGGGCUACUAGUUUUUUACCCUUCUAUAAUAUUGAUCAUUUCGGUUUUUCCUUGUAAAAAAAAUUGUUUGGAUUAUGUCCUUAUAAAUUAAAGAUUUUUCAAAAUACUCAACGAAUGGUUGAAGUCACAUUUAGACCAUCCACUAUGGUGGUAAAAGUGUAUUUGAUGAAAAAAAAAUUGCGCAUAAUGAAGAACAUACCUAAAUGAAUGGUUGAAGUCACACUUAGACCAUCCACAAUGGUGGAAGCAUAACCUACUUAGCACCGCAUUAAAUAGGCAUCCUAUUGUGGAGUAAAAUAUAUGGGUGCCAUUGGAGAAGGGUGACUAUGGAAGAACCCUCUAUCUCUUCAUUUUUCGUGGGACCUAUUUAAUAAAUCUUAAUAAAUUAUAUAAAUUUUGUUGAAACGUAAUGAUAGAGAAUUAUUUGUGGGACUUAUUUAAUAAUUUCUUUUGAGCUGCUGGGUUGGAGAAAAUUGGUGCUUAUUAAGUAUUACCGUAAAGUUAAUGAUAGGGACUCAUAUGAAACAUUUGAGCACCUAAUUUGAGGUUCUCAGUUUUGGAUGGAUGGUCUUAAAGAAUAUAUAGUGAGAUGAUCAAUAUAUAUAUAUAAGGUUUUGCUUAAAAUUGGAUGUCCAUCUCACUUGUAUGAUUUUUCUUGAGUCAAUAUAUAUUGAUUCUUCGAGUUUUUUUUUAUGACCCAACGAUUAUCAAGUAAAUGAUAUUUUAAUAUAUCCUCUAUUCCACGUCAUCAAAAAUUGUUAGUCACUUCAAUUUCUAUUGGACACGUCAUCAAACCUUACAUGAUCACAAUUAUUUAGUUACACACAUAUUUUAAAAAAGGUGAAAAAAAAUAAAAGAAUUAAAUAAUAUAUAUUUUAAAUAUAAUUAAAUAAUACUCAAGAUACAUUAAUUAUUACAUUAAAUAGGUUUAUUAUUUAUUUAUAAUAUAUAUUAUAAAUCAGAUACAUCAAUUAUAAUUUAAAAAAAGAAUAUUUGCUUACAAAAAUAAAUUGAACAUCGUUAAAAAUGUAAAAAGAUGAUCUACAAAUAAACACAUUAGAUCUGAGUUGUUAGCAUAAAACAGGAAAAUGUCUACUAAUAAUGUUGUGAAAUCAAAGUGAUCAGAAUACACACAUAUAUCUGGAUAUGCAACGUUGACGACCUAAUCAUUGGUUGAAUCAAUAUUUGAUUGAAAUUCUAUCAAUCUAAAUUAUCAAACAAACAAUGCAACAAAAAAAUAAAUAGAACAACAACCACACUAAGACAAAAAAUCAAAUAAAACUUUCCUCUGAGAUGACAAAAUCACAAACAUCAAAACACGAAAGAAAAAUAUGAUAUUUAUGAAAACCACUUAUUUAAAUUAAAAUAACGGCAUUAAAAUAUGCACAAAGGUGAUAUCGGGUCGAAAUAUGGUCCAAAACCACCUCUUUUGGAUGAAAGGAGAAGAGAAAACUUAGUGAUACUAUGGAGUUUAUCACUAUUAAAAAAAUUAGAGCUGGUUAGUUUUCUGAAUUUGAAUGUAAAAUAUGUUUUUGAUCCCUAUAAAUAUUCAGAAUUUUGUUUUUAAUUCUUAUAAAAUAAAAUCACACUUUUUUAGUCAAUGUGACAUUUUCGUUUUGCAUUUCUAAGGAUCAAAAAAGUUUAUGAAAAUUUUAAAACUGUUGAUGGAAAAUUUACAUGAACUAAAAUGUGAUUUUUUUUUUUUAGGCCAAAGGGGCAGCAGAUGGAAACUAGCUGCAACAACCUAUAUAUAUAAUAAAAAGAAACCAAUAACAAAAGGAGAAAGGGGACAUAAACCAAAACCUUCUCAAACGAUAAAAGAAACACAAAAAAGGGGAGCAAACCUCUAACCCAUGAAAAGAAAAAAACAAGAAAAGGAAAGCAAAACAAAGGGAACAGGAAAAUAACAGAAAAAGAUAUGCAACCCAAAGAAAAGAACUUGAAUAUUCAAUCUGGAAAUCUACCUUUAGAGCGGGUAUUAUGAACUUGAAAAUCCUUCUGCCUCUUCUUUUUUGUGGCCUUAGACACCACCUCAGUGAAUUCCAUAGAAGCAAAACGGUGCUUCAAAUAGUUGACAGCUGCUGCUCUCUUUUCCUCAUCGGUAUAAAGAGGCACAAUAUCUCCAACAUCAAUUCCUUUUUGAACAUGUUGCCGUAAUAUUUCCAUGUCAUGAGCAAUGUUUGGAUUUAGAACCUCAUCAGAAACAGUCAUUCUAAAAGAAGGUAAACCACACCAAGAUGGAGAAUCUUGAGUGUAGUCCAAAUCAGUGACGGCGUCACUCCAUUGACCAACUAUUAGCAUAUCAGGAUAUUUGUUAAUUCGUUGAUCAUCUCCUUCAAUCUUAGCCAAAUCAGUGGUAUGAACUAACAUUUGAAUUGGUUGCACGACAGAUGUUUCAACAUAAAUGCUAGGAAGUAUCUCUUUCUCAAGAUUUAAAACAUCUGUGCACAACCUCUCUAGAUCUUAUUAUAUUAGUAACAAGGGGGUCUUCAAAUGUCCCAGGUUUGCUACUACCUUGCACUUGUGCCACAUUCCUUUUAGGAACAAAAACCUGUUUGGUUUUUUUAAUAGUGUCGUUUUUAAUAACAACCUUUUCAAGAUCAAUUUUAUUGGCAGGAUCUUCAUUCCAUUGAUCAGAAGAAUGACCAAUAGAAUUGCUAGUGAAACAAAAGUAAGGGUGUUUUUCAUACUCAAUUUCAAUGUCAAAAGUAAAAUUUUCCCUUUCAAUCCACAAAGAGUCUGGAAGAAAACCAGUCGUAUUGAUAUCAACUAGAACGCGUGCAUAAUGACCAAAUGAUUGGUUUAACGUGUGCUGAUCAAUAAUUAUAGGCGUGCCAAUAGCCCCAACAAUCUCAAAUGAAAUUCUAGGUUGCCAAUAUUCCAAAGGAAGAUAAUGAAAACAAACCCAUACCCGACUAUGAGUUUGUUUUUGAUCAAAAGUGUUAAAAUCAACUAAAAUGUGAUUUAAUUUUAUAGAGACUAAAAAUAAGGUUUUGAAUAUUUAUAGUAAUAAAAACGUAUUCAACAUUAAAUUUUAUAAUACUUCAAUAACACUAAAUUUAUUUUAAAUAUUAUUUUAUAGAGCACUAACUUAAAAAGAUAUGCCCUAAAAAAAAAUACUUAAAAAAGAUAUAUCAAGUGUUCUCCUCCACCUUCAAAACCUUUUAUUUAAACAUAUUUAACCCUACACCUUUUUUUUUUUUUUUUUUUGUAUAUAAAUAGAUUUUGUUUACAAUAGUUAAUAUAUUGAUUUUUGUUUUGUUGUGCAUGGUAUUUCAUAAUGUUGUUUUUGCUAUAUUCUGCAGUCUCUGUUUGUUCACAAAUAUAGUGGUUCUAUGAUUCUUGAUUCUGCAAUUCCAAUCACUCUGAGCUACUUUAUGUCAACUGUAACUAUGAUCUAUGGCCAACACCUCACAAAGGACUGUCCAGAACCACAAAUUAAUUUGAUAUAUCCAGGAAUUGUGUUGUUCCUAGUUGCCAUCAUUGGCAAUUUAUACCAUCAUUUUCUUCUAUCAAAAUUGAG
rnacentral:lncRNA from 1 species